rnacentral:rRNA from 1 species
UACGUAGGGGGCGAGCGUUGUCCGGAAUUAUUGGGCGUAAAGCGCGCGCAGGCGGUGAUGUAAGUUUGGUGUAUAAGCCCGUGGCUCAACCACGGGACGCACUGAAAACUGUGUCGCUCGAGUGCAGGAGAGGAAAGUGGAAUUCCACGUGUAGCGGUGAAAUGCGUAGAGAUGUGGAGGAACACCAGUGGCGAAGGCGACUUUCUGGCCUGUAACUGACGCUGAGGCGCGAAAGCGUGGGGAGCAAACAGG